UACAGAGGGUGCAAGCGUUAAUCGGAAUUACUGGGCGUAAAGCGUGCGUAGACGGUGAUGUAAGUCGGGUGUGAAAGCCCCGGGCUCAACCUGGGAAUGGCAUUCGAGACUGCAUCGCUAGGGUGCGGAAGAGGGAAGCGGAAUUUCCGGUGUAGCGGUGAAAUGCGUAGAUAUCGGAAGGAACAUCAGUGGCGAAGGCGGCGAUCUGGGCAGAUAUUGACGCUGAUGUGCGAAAGCGUGGGGAGCAAACAGG
rnacentral:rRNA from 1 species